CCUACGGGAGGCAGCAGUGAGGAAUAUUGGUCAAUGGGCGCGAGCCUGAACCAGCCAAGUAGCGUGAAGGAUGACUGCCCUACGGGUUGUAAACUUCUUUUAUAAAGGAAUAAAGUGAGGCACGUGUGCCUUUUUGUAUGUACUUUAUGAAUAAGGAUCGGCUAACUCCGUGCCAGCAGCCGCGGUAAUACGGAGGAUCCGAGCGUUAUCCGGAUUUAUUGGGGUUAAAGGGAGCGUAGAUGGGUUGUUAAGUCAGUUGUGAAAGUUUGCGGCUCAACCGUAAAAUUGCAGUUGAAACUGGCAGUCUUUAUUACAGUAGAGGUGGGCGGACUUC
rnacentral:rRNA from 1 species